GAUGAACGCUGGCGGCGUGCCUAAUACAUGCAAGUCGAGCGAACGGACGAGAAGCUUGCUUCUCUGAUGUUAGCGGCGGACGGGUGAGUAACACGUGGAUAACCUACCUAUAAGACUGGGAUAACUUCGGGAAACCGGAGCUAAUACCGGAUAAUAUUUUGAACCGCAUGGUUCAAAAGUGAAAGACGGUCUUGCUGUCACUUAUAGAUGGAUCCGCGCUGCAUUAGCUAGUUGGUAAGGUAACGGCUUACCAAGGCAACGAUGCAUAGCCGACCUGAGAGGGGGAUAGGCCACCCUGGAACUGAGAAACGGUCCAGCCCCCUACGGGAGGAAGCAGAAGGGAAUCUUCCGCAAUGGGCGAAAGCCUGACGGAGCAACGCCGCGUGAGUGAUGAAGGUCUUCGGAUCGUAAAACUCUGUUAUUAGGGAAGAACAUAUGUGUAAGUAACUGUGCACAUCUUGACGGUACCUAAUCAGAAAGCCACGGCUAACUACGUG
rnacentral:rRNA from 1 species